CAACUACUCCCUCCGUCCGAAAAUACUUGUCAUCAAAAUGGAUAAAAAAAGGUGUGUCUAGAACUAAAAUACAUCUAGAUACAUCCUCUUUUAUCCAUUUUGAUGACAAGUAUUUUCGGACGGAGGGAGUACCUG
rnacentral:pre_miRNA from 1 species